rnacentral:rRNA from 1 species
UACGUAGGGGGCAAGCGUUGUCCGGAUUUAUUGGGCGUAAAGAGCGUGUAGGCGGCCUUACAGGUCAGCUGUGAAAACUCGAGGCUCAACCUCGAGACGUCGGUUGAAACCGUAAGGCUAGAGUCCGGAAGAGGAGAGUGGAAUUCCCGGUGUAGCGGUGAAAUGCGCAGAUAUCGGGAAGAACACCCGUGGCGAAGGCGGCUUCCUGGACCUGCUCUGACACUGAGGAGCGAAAGCGUGGGGAGCGAUCCGG